GAGUUUGAUCUUGGCUCAGAACGAACGCUGGCGGCAGGCCUAACACAUGCAAGUCGAGCGCUGUAGCAAUACAGAGCGGCGCACGGGUGAGUAACACGUGGGAACGUGCCCUUUGGUUCGGAAUAACUCAGGGAAACUUGAGCUAAUACCGGAUGAGCCCUAACGGGGAAAGAUUUAUCGCCGAAGGAGCGGCCCGCGUUGGAUUAGCUAGUUGGUGGGGUAAAAGCCUACCAAGGCAACGAUCCAUAGCUGGUUUGAGAGAACGACCAGCCACACUGGGACUGAGACACGGCCCAGACUCCUACGGGAGGCAGUAGUGGGGAAUCUUGGACAAUGGGGGAAACCCUGAUCCAGCCAUGCCGCGUGAGUGAUGAAGGCCCUAGGGUUGUAAAACUCUUUCGGCGGGACGAUAAUGACGGUACCCGCAGAAGAAGCUCCGGCUAACUUCGUGCCAGCAGCCGCGUAAC
rnacentral:rRNA from 1 species